rnacentral:rRNA from 1 species
GACGAACGCUGGCGGCGUGCUUAACACAUGCAAGUCGAACGGAAAGGCCCUGCUUUCGUGGGGUGCUCGAGUGGCGAACGGGUGAGUAACACGUGAGUAACCUGCCCUUGACUUUAGGAUAACUUCAGGAAACUGGGGCUAAUACCGGAUAGGAGCUCCUGCUGCAUGGUGGGGGUUGGAAAGUUUCGGCGGUUGGGGAUGGACUCGCGGCUUAUCAGCUUGUUGGUGGGGUAGUGGCUUACCAAGGCUUUGACGGGUAGCCGGCCUGAGAGGGGGACCAGGCACAUUGGGACUGCGGUACGGCCCAGAGUCCUACGGGAGGCAGCAGUGGGGAAUAUUGCACAAUGGUCGGAAGCGUGAUGCAGCAACGCCGCGUGCGGGAUGACGGCCUUCAGGUUGUAAACCGCUUUCGCCUGUGACGAAGCGUGAGUGACGGUAAUGGGUAAAGAAGCACCGGCUAACUACGUG